rnacentral:rRNA from 1 species
GAUGAACGCUGGCGGCGUGCCUAAUACAUGCAAGUCGAGCGAACGGACGAGAAGCUUGCUUCUCUGAUGUUAGCGGCGGACGGGUGAGUAACACGUGGAUAACCUACCUAUAAGACUUGGAUAACUUCGGGAAACCGGAGCUAAUACCGGAUAAUAUUUUGAACCGCAUGGUUCAAAAGUGAAAGACGGUCUUGCUGUCACUUAUAGAUGGAUCCGCGCUGCAUUAGCUAGUUGGUAAGGUAACGGCUUACCAAGGCAACGAUGCAUAGCCGACCUGAGAGGGUGAUCGGCGACACUGGAACUGAGACACGGUCCAGACGCCUACGGGAGGCAGCAGUAGGGAAUCUUCCGCAAUGGGCGAAAGCCUGACGGAGCAACGCCGCGGGAGUGAUGAAGGUCUUCGGAUCGUAAAACUCUGUUAUUAGGGAAGAACAUAUGUGUAAGUAACUGUGCACAUCUUGACGGUACCUAAUCAGAAAGCCACGGCUAACUACGUG